AUUUUAUCCAAUGUGUUUGCCAUGUGUUACUAAUAUCAAUAUAGCUUUAUGACGAUAAGAAAUUAGAAGAUGUCAAGCAGAGAAGGUGAGGUAUAUGCAUGCGUUUAAAACAAAAAGUUCAAAGAUCAAAGGUUAAAGUUCCAUUGCGUACCUGUCCUGGUUGGCUGCCUCCAAGUGACCUAUCCUGUUUUUCAGCGCCAUGCACGUACUGCAGUUGAAAGUGUCAGCACCUGAUUCUAUCUGCCUUGCAUUUUGCGUAUAUUUUGCUAGUAUUUCGCCAUUCCCUUCGUAUUUCGUUUUUUAGUCGGGGCCCUGUUGUCAAGAUGACUAAGAUCAGUACAGGGAAUUCGAAUAUUUCGAGGAAGCUAGACCAAGGAUCUUUCUUCUGUUGCUGUAUCGGCUUUCCCUGUUGCUGUGCUCUCCUUUUCUUAUAUUUGCCAGCAAUUUACAUUACCAGUACCGCAGUAUCAUCUUCGUCGCUAUCGUUCAAGCACACAAUGUGUACGACAACGUCGUCUGAGUAUAGAGGUAUGGUGAGCUGUGCAGGGGUUGACUAUCCCUGUCUCAUUGUGAAAGUCAGCUACAACCCGGUACAGAACGGCACAGAUACAGAAACGGAAGGAUUUCUGUACAACGAGGAGACGGAAAUAAUAGGC